CCCAGGACCACUGGUUCCUCUUGGCAAAACUUGUCCAAGUACCUCCAGCUGGGUUGCCUCCCUGUAAAACACACCUUGUCCUAAGUGACCUUUCCAGUCCCCCUCCCACCAAGCUUCAGCCAGAGGAACUUAGUCUGCUGGUACUAGUCACUGUUGUGCUUUUAUUAGAUGCUCAUUAUCUCCAGAUACCCUCUGACCUUUAGAUUGAACUGACUGUAUAGAAGGCUGCCAGCUUCAGUCACCUCAUGUGCCCCCGCCCCUAUCCUGCUGGGGCUACAGAGAAGAGACAGAACCUUACUCCCACACCCUGACACCACUCCUGGUGCUGAGGGUGGCUGUCUGCUCUUAUUGCCUUGGAGAUCUGAGAGAUCCAAGAAGCCCAGAUCUUUUUGCAUGAGGUGCUUCUGUCAGAGGCCUCCUGUAUUAAUAUGCAGGGGGCCUCUCCCACCCUGCCACAGCUAAGUCCUAGCUUCUCCCCCAGAGCAACCUCUGAAUUACUCCAGCCUAGGCCCAUUGCAAGGGGGAACGGUGUCUGAAAUGCUUCUCACCCCACCCCAUAAGCUGCACUCCAGUUCCCCUGCACAAUGAUGUCUCCUUACACCCUGCCCUUGCAUGCCCCAGAUCACAGUGGUUCAGCUACUCCAGUGCCUGAUGCCAGGCUGGCAGGGUGUGUGUAAGGAUGUGGCUGCAGCAGCAUCUUUCACAGGGACACCAGUUUGGUGGUGAGCAGGCUGCAGCCUCCUCAACUUCUCCAGCAUCAGACCUGCUGCUGUGCAAACUUUCCCGAGGGGAAUGUAAGUCCCUUGUCCUCUCACGUCUAAUGAGAGUGGCAGGUGAGUAGGGGAGGGUUGCAGACCCAGGGAAAGCACGGGACACGACUGGACGGGAGAGAGAGACCCGUGGGCGCGGGGAGUAGGUCCUGGUGGGAGGUGAGCGGAGAGAGCACGUGGAGGUGUUGCAGAGCAGGGCUGGCGGGAUAAAGGCCCUGACUCCCAACGCGGAGCUGGGGCAGCCGAAGCUGAAAGCCCAACCGGCGCCCCUGGAGCAGAGAGACAAGCUCACGUGCACCGGCCCGGUUCCGCGGGGGGGGGAGCCC
rnacentral:lncRNA from 1 species